rnacentral:rRNA from 1 species
GACGAACGCUGGCGGCGUGCCUAAUACAUGCAAGUAGAACGCUGAAGAGAGGAGCUUGCUCUUCUUGGAUGAGUUGCGAACGGGUGAGUAACGCGUAGGUAACCUGCCUUGUAGCGGGGGAUAAUUAUUGGAAACGAUAGCUAAUACCGCAUAACAAUGGAUGACACAUGUCAUUUAUUUGAAAGGGGCAAUUGCUCCACUACAAGAUGGACCUGCGUUGUAUUAGCUAGUAGGUGAGGUAAUGGCUCACCUAGGCGACGAUACAUAGCCGACCUGAGAGGGUGAUCGGCCACACUGGGACUGAGACACGGCCCAGACUCCUACGGGAGGCAGCAGUAGGGAAUCUUCGGCAAUGGGGGCAACCCUGACCGAGCAACGCCGCGUGAGUGAAGAAGGUUGUCGGAUCGUAAAGCUCUGUUGUAAGUCAAGAACGGGUGUGAGAGUGGAAAGUUCACACUGUGACGGUAGCUUACCAGAAAGGGACGGCUAACUACGUG